AGAGUUUGAUCCUGGCUCAGGAUGAACGCUGGCGGCGUGUCUAAGGCAUGCAAGUCGAAUGUGUAUCUUCGGAUACGCAUGGCAAACGGGAGAGUAACACAUUGGUAAUCUACCUCGAGGUCGGGCAUAACCCUGUGAAAACGGGGAUAAUACCCGAUAGGAGUGGGGGGACAUAAGUCAUUCCCACUUAAAGUUCCGGCGCCUCGAGAGGAGCCUAUGGCCUAUCAGCUUGUUGGUAAGGUAAAAGCUUACCACGGCUACGACGGGUAGCGGGUGUGAGAGCAUGACCCGUCUCACUGGGACUGAGACACUGCCCAGACUCCUACGGGAGGCUGCAGUCAAGAAUCUUCCUCAAUGGCCGAAAGGCUGAAGGAGCGACGCCGCGUGUAUGAAGACGCCCCUCGGGGUGUAAAAUACUUUUAGUUGGGAUGAAUCAAUGACAGUACCAAUUGAAUAAGGGGCUGCUAACCUCGUGCCAGCAGCAGCGGUAAUACGAGGGCCCCAAGCGUUAUCCAGAUUUAUUGGGCGUAAAGCGUCCGCAGGCUGUUUAUCGCAUCUCCUGUUAAAUCCCGAGGCUCAACCUCGGAACCGCGGGAGAGAUGGUUAAACUAGAGGCCGGUAGAGGUAAGCGGAAUUGCUGGUGUAGGUGUUAAAUCCGUUAAUAUCAGCAGGAACACCAAAUGCGAAGGCAGCUUACUAGAACGGUCCUGACGCUCAGGGACGAAAGCGCGGGGAGUGAAUAGGAUUAGAUACCCUAGUAAUCCGCGCCGUAAACGAUGAAUGCUAGGCAUUGGAAGUAUCGACCCUUUCAGUGCUGCUUACCUAAGAUAACUCGUUAAGCAUUCCGCCUGCGAGUACGAGCGCAAGCUUAAAACUCAAAGGAAUAGACGGGGACCCGCACAAGCGGUGGAGCACGUGGUUUAAUUCGAUGAUGAGCGGAUCACCUCACCAAGGCUUGACAUCUAGCUGCAAGCCCUAGAAAUAGGGUCGCCUUCGAGGGUGCUAGACAGAUACUGCAUGGUUGCCGUCAGCUCGUGUCGUGAGAUGUACCGUUAAGUCGGAAAACGAGCGCAACCCUUAUCCUAUGUUUUAUAUGUCAUGGGAGGCUGCCCGUUUUAAAUGGGAGGAAGGUGGGGACGACGUCAAAUCUGCAUGGUUCUUACGCCUUGGGCAACACACAUGCUACAAUGGGAAGUACAAAGGGACGCCAAGCCGCAAGGUGGAGCAAAUCCCAUAAAACUUCUCUCAGUUCGGAUUGAGGUCUGCAAUUCGACCUCAUGAAGUCGGAAUCGCUAGUAAUCGUGGAUCAGCACGCCACGGUGAAUACGUUCUCGGGUCUUGUACUCACCGCCCGUCACAUCAAGGGAGUCGGUAAUACCCGAAGGCUCUUUAGUUUACUAAGGGGACGAAGGUAAGACUGGCGACAGGGAUGAAGUCGUAACAAGGCA
rnacentral:rRNA from 1 species